GGCUUUUGUUGAUGGCCAGACAAAGACUCUUAAGUCCUGAAAAUGUUCCUGCCAUGAGAACAAUCUCGCCCCAGCGUACAGAGGAGUUUGCACGCAGGUAGAAAUUCUACAGACGCCACAAACUUCAAUAUUCUGCAACACUGGAGUUUCAAAAUAAGUCAUAAAUAUAUUCUUUGUGUAGAAAUUUAAAUAAUUUUCAAUAUUAAUAUUUGCACUUUGUGUUUUUGUGAUUUUGCCAAAAACGUCCUAAUAAUAUAGAAUAUGUAAGCAUAUUUAAAAACAUGCAAUGCUGCUGUAAUUGUUCUCUUUUUAGUGUGAUAGGAGUUACUAAAUGAGACAAAGCUGCACACCUGAAGGUCCUGCAGUCAGUGCAUACAGGUACAGUGUCACACAGAGCUCAAUACAAGCUCAAUGGUGCCACCUAAAGUCGUGGUCUACAAUAACAUGCCCCUAAAGUCAUCCAGGUGUGCUGCAUUAUGCAUAAUAUGUGAAAUGAAAAUACGAAAGUGCUGCUGUAAAGAAUUUUUACCUGAUGUCAGAUUCCUAACAUCGCUCACAUUUCAAAAUGUGAAGAAUUGGAGUUUAAAAUGUGAAGAAUUUAACCCUGUUUUUCUUGUUUUUCAGCUUUAUUACCUCAUUUUAGCACCUGC